rnacentral:rRNA from 1 species
UGGGGAAUAUUGGACAAUGGGGGCAACCCUGAUCCAGCAAUGCCGCGUGUGUGAAGAAGGUCUUCGGAUUGUAAAGCACUUUCGACGGGGACGAUGAUGACGGUACCCGUAGAAGAAGCCCCGGCUAACUUCGUGCCAGCAGCCGCGGUAAUACGAAGGGGGCUAGCGUUGCUCGGAAUGACUGGGCGUAAAGGGCGUGUAGGCGGUUUACACAGUCAGAUGUGAAAUCCCCGGGCUUAACCUGGGAGCUGCAUUUGAUACGUGUAGACUAGAGUGUGAGAGAGGGUUGUGGAAUUCCCAGUGUAGAGGUGAAAUUCGUAGAUAUUGGGAAGAACACCGGUGGCGAAGGCGGCAACCUGGCUCAUGACUGACGCUGAGGCGCGAAAGCGUGGGGAGCAAACAGGAUUAGAUACCCUGGUAGUCCACGCUGUAAACGAUGUGUGCUAGAUGUUGGGUAACUUUGUUAUUCAGUGUCGCAGUUAACGCGUUAAGCACACCGCCUGGGGAGUACGGCCGCAAGGU